GCAUUGCUGAGGAGUCCCACACUAGGGCGAAACGGUCGUCCAGUGC
rfam:Schistosoma margrebowiei strain Zambia genome assembly, scaffold: SMRZ_scaffold0000703